rnacentral:piRNA from 1 species
UAAGGAUGUGGACACUAUAAAUG